rnacentral:rRNA from 1 species
AUACGAAAGGUGCAAGCGUUGUUCGGAUUUACUGGGCGUAAAGAGAGUGUAGGUUGUUUAUUAAGUCGGAUGUGAAAUCCCGGGGCUCAACCUCGGAACUGCAUUCGAUACUGGUAGACUAGAGUUCGGGAGGGGUAAGCGGAAUUCCGUGUGUAGCAGUGAAAUGCGUGGAUAUACGGAGGAACACCUGAGGCGAAGGCGGCUUACUGGACCGAUACUGACACUGAGACUCGAAAGCGUGGGUAGCAAACAGGAUUAGAUACCCUAGUAGUCC